GGAAGGAUCAUUAACAAAUUCCAAAACACGCGUGUUUGAUGAAGACAUUGUGUGUGACGACGAUCAUCAAGGAGAGGAGGAGGAGACAAGAAUCGAGGUGUCCCCAUGUUGGGCCAUCUUGCGUCUCUUUGACUGUCGUUGCUUGCAUGUCUGAAUCAGUUAACAACACACAACAACACUCACACUUUAAAAUUGACAACCAAGAGUAUAUAAUCUAAAACGUUAUAUAAAUCGAAACAACUUUUAACAAUGGAUCUCUCGGCUCUUGCAACGAUGAAGAACGCAGCGAACUGCGAAACGUGAUGUGAACUGCACUCUUCGUGAAUCAUCCAAUCUUUGAACGCAAUUUGCACCUUGUGGCUUUUGUCACAAGGUAUACUUGUUUGAGUAUCCAAAACUACCUCACCUCCCUUUCGGGGCGAGAUGGACUUGAGACUCGAUCAAUAAAUGUGUCACUUGUGUGAUACAAAUGUGGUCGUUUCUUUAAAGGUGGUGGUCAUUUAAUUUAUGGAAGGACUCCGUCUGGAGCCUGACAGACUAUUGGGAUAACAUCCUGACGAUCGUCUGUCGGUUCUAUCAUCAAGUUAGACUAGACGUUGACUAACCUAGACCAAUAUGUCGAAGACAAUCCAAUUCAUUUGGAUAUGGCUUCACGUCUAUUUUAUGAGAGAAACUGUAAAAAGUAACGCUUAUAUGCUUAUAUGGACAAGUGUAUCAAUGGAUCUCAAAUCAAGUAAGGAUACCCGCUGAACUUAAGCAUAUCAGUAAGCGGAGGAAAAGAAACUAACAAGGAUUCCCAGAGUAACGGCGAGUGAAACGGGAAGAGCUCAAAUUUGAAAUCUGGCAUCCGUGUAUGGGUGUCCGAAUUGUCAUUGAGAGAGUCGUCUUUUGACAAGCGUGAUGGCCAAAGUUCUCUGGAAAGGGACAACAAAGAGGGUGACAUUCCCGUCUGGGUCAUGGCGUACGUCAGUAUAAAGGCGGCUCAAAGAGUCGGAUUGUUUGGGAAUGCAGUCCAAAAUGGGUGGUACAUGUCAUCUAAAGCUAAAUAUAGGCAAGAGACCGAUAGCGAACAAGUACCGUGAGGGAAAGAUGAAAAGAACUUUGAAAAGAGAGUUAAAUAGUACGUGAAAUUGUUAAAAGGGAAACGAUUGAGACCAGUGAUGUGUCAGUCCUUGAGCACACCUUUCGGGGUAUGUGUUUGGGCUUGAUACGAGUCGACGCUCCUUUUGCAUGCUGGAAAAGACAAGAGGAAAGGUGGCUCCAUCUUCGGGUGGCUGCUUUAUAGUCCUCUUGGGAUACAGGAUGUGAGAGGAGACAGGGUUAGGGUUGCAAUAUACUCACGUCGACGAAAUGGUCUUAAACGACCCGUCUUGAAACACGGACCAAGGAGUCUAACAUCUAUGCGAGUAUUUGAGUGGCAAACUCGAGUGCGUAAAGAAACUGAACGCGUGGGACUUGUUCACUCAUGAUGUGGUGAGCAAUGCACCAUGGGCCGGUCCUUGUCUUGACUUGGAUUGCGCUGGAGCAUAUCUGUUGGGACCCGAAAGAUGGUGAACUAUGCCUGAAUAGGGUGAAGCCAGGGGAAACUCUGGUGGAGGCUCGUAGACAUUCUGACGUGCAAAUCGAUGUUCAAAUUUGGGUAUAGGGGCGAAAGACUAAUCGAACCAUCUAGUAGCUGGUUCCCUC
rnacentral:misc_RNA from 1 species